UAGAUCUUCUGAGAGUGGACGGACGCAUUUACAGGAGCUGCUCUUGAUUUUGCACUUUUCUGAUUUGGAUACAACAUCGGAUUAUGCUAUAAUCUGCAAGGAGACAUGACUAUGACAGAACACAUAUGGACCGAUCUGCAGACGAAAGACAAGAAAAGAGUGAAAGAGAAAAAUGGCAAAUCUAAUGAACCAGGAGAGGAAAAGACGCUGAUGUUAGUCAGAAGGAACAGCAUUCAUGACAUCAGACCAAACUUUUCUCAAGAUGCAGACGGCUUCAUUCUGAUGCUUCAGAAUGAGUCACAGACUCUCACACAUCAUAUCCAGCAGCUGAUUUCUGAUCCUGGAGACUGACCUUC